GACAACCGAAUAGACACCCUUCGCUUAAGGAGUCUCUUCCUCUACUGCUAUUUCAUCGCUAAAUUUUUCUCUACAAAUUCUAUUUCUAGGGUUAGGGUUUUCAAAUUCUUAGCAAAUUCAUAGUACAAUCGCUACUGUUUUUUGUGCUUUACCUGGAACGCUACCCUCAUGGAAUCUUCUAUUGUGAUCAAGGUCAAGUAU
rnacentral:misc_RNA from 1 species